CAAAUCAGGUAGGACUACCCGCUGAACUUAAGCAUAUCAAUAAGCGGAGGAAAAGAAACUAACAAGGAUUCCCCUAGUAACUGCGAGUGAAGCGGGAAAAGCUCAAAUUUAAAAUCUGGCGGUCUUUGGCCGUCCGAGUUGUAGUCUGGAGAAGUGCUUUCCGCGCUGGACCGUGUAUAAGUCUCUUGGAACAGAGCGUCAUAGAGGGUGAGAAUCCCGUCUUUGACACGGACUACCAGUGCUUUGUGAUGCGCUCUCGAAGAGUCGAGUUGUUUGGGAAUGCAGCUCAAAAUGGGUGGUGAAUUCCAUCUAAAGCUAAAUAUUGGCGAGAGACCGAUAGCGAACAAGUACCGUGAGGGAAAGAUGAAAAGCACUUUGGAAAGAGAGUUAAACAGUACGUGAAAUUGCUGAAAGGGAAACGCUUGAAGUCAGUCGCGUCGGCCGGAACUCAGCCUUGCUUUUGCUUGGUGCACUUUCCGGUUGACGGGUCAGCAUCGAUUUUGACCGUCGGAAAAGGGCUAGGGUAAUGUGGCACCUCCGGGUGUGUUAUAGACUCUAGUCGCAUACGGCGGUUGGGAUCGAGGAACGCAGCGCGCCGCAAGGCAGGGGUUCGCCCACUUUCGCGCUUAGGAUGCUGGCAUAAUGGCUUUAAACGACCCGUCUUGAAACACGGACCAAGGAGUCUAACAUACCUGCGAGUGUUUGGGUGGAAAACCCGAGCGCGUAAUGAAAGUGAAAGUUGAGACCUCUGUCGUGGAGGGCAUCGACGCCCGGACCUGACGUUCUCUGACGGAUCCGCGGUAGAGCAUGUAUGUUGGGACCCGAAAGAUGGUGAACUAUGCCUGAAUAGGGUGAAGCCAGAGGAAACUCUGGUGGAGGCUCGUAGCG
rnacentral:rRNA from 1 species